ACGGUAAAAUUCAAUCUCCUCUUUUUUACUCCAGCUAAAGUUGUUAGUUAGCAAGGCGAGUAGGAGCGCAAUCUGCAGGAUACUAAUGGCAAUAACAUUUAUAAAAAAAAAAUUAAAAAAAUCGGCUAUAAUCGGCCGAUUAAAUCGGCAGGCCGAUAAAUCGGUCGGGCCCUAGUUUGUAUCAAA